rnacentral:rRNA from 1 species
UACGAAGGGGGCUAGCGUUGCUCGGAAUGACUGGGCGUAAAGGGCGCGUAGGCGGAUGGCACAGUCAGAUGUGAAAUUCCCGGGCUUAACCUGGGGGCUGCAUUUGAUACGUGUUGUCUAGAGUGAGGAAGAGGGUCGUGGAAUUCCCAGUGUAGAGGUGAAAUUCGUAGAUAUUGGGAAGAACACCGGUGGCGAAGGCGGCAUCCUGGACCAACACUGACGCUGAGGAGCGAAAGCCAGGGGAGCAAACGGG